rnacentral:tRNA from 1 species
GGAGAAGUGGCAGAGUGUUUAUGCGGUUGACUUGAAAUCAUCUGAUGGGGGUUUAAUUCCUCCCUUCUCUU